AUAAGAUAUCAAGGGCAACAGGUGAAUGCCUUGGCGCUGAGAGGCGAUGAAAGACGCGGUAAGCUGCGAUAAGCAUCGGGGAGGAGCUAAACAUCCUACGAUCCGAUGAUUUCUGAAUGGGGAAACCCGAUGGGAGUCAUGUCCCAUCAUCCUGAGCUGAAUAUAUAGGCCCAGAGAAGCCAACCCGGGGAAGUGAAACAUCUCAGUACCCGGAGGAAGAGAAAUCAAACGAGACUCCCAAAGUAGCGGCGAGCGAAAUGGGAAGAGCCCAAACCGAGUGGUUUCGACCAUUCGGGGUUGUAGGGCCGGCAUACGCGAUUCUGGAGUAGGCAGAGGAAGUGAGCUGGAAAGCUCCGCCACAGCGGGUGAUAGCCCCGUACUCGAAACCGAAAAGGACGCAGCCGGUACCUGAGUACUGCGAGGCACGUGGAACCUCGUGGGAAUCUAGGGGGACCAUCCUCUAAGGCUAAGUACUCCUCAGCGACCGAUAGUGAACUAGUACCGUGAGGGAAAGGUGAAAAGAACCCCUGUUAGGGGAGUGAAAUAGAAUCUGAAACCUGUUGCCUACAAGCUGCGAGAGCUACUUCGGUAGUGAUCGCGUGCCUUUUGUAUAAUGAGUCAGCGAGUUACUCUACCGUGCGAGGUUAAGCGAAAGCGUAGCCGUAGUGAAAGCGAGGCUUAAUAGGCCGACUAGUACGUUGGAGUAGACCCGAAACCGGGUGAUCUAUCCAUGAGCAGGUUGAAGCAAGGGUAAAGCCUUGUGGAGGACCGAACCGUCAACGGCUGAAAACGUUCCGGAUGACUUGUGGAUAGGGGUGAAAGGUCAAUCAAACCCGGUGAUAGCUGGUUCUCCCCGAAAUAUAUUGAGGUAUAGCCUCGGGAAUUGAUUAGCGGAGGUAAAGCACUGACAGAGCUAGGGGUCCUACCAGAUUACCAAACUCUAUCAAACUCAGAAUGCCGCUUAAUUGUAUCCCGGGAGUCAGACGGCGGGUGCGAAGGUUCGUCGUCAAAAGGGAAACAGCCCAGACCAACAGCUAAGGUCUCCAAAUCCAUGCUCAGUGGUGAAGGUAGUGGAACCGUUUAGACAGCCAGGACGUUGGCUUAGAAGCAGCCAUCGUUUAAAGAAAGCGUAAUAGCUCACUGGUCUAAUGGCUCUGCGCCGAAAAUGUAACGGGGCUAAGCAUGGUACCGAAGCUUUGGCAAUCUCCUUUGGAGAUUGGGUAGGGGAGCGUUCGCUGCGGGCUGAAGGUGUGUCGGAAGGCAUGCUGGACUGCAGUGAAGUGAUUAUGCUGACAUGAGUAACGAUAAAAUAUGUGAAAAACAUAUUCGCCGAAAACCCGAGGUUUCCUGGGUAAAGGUAAUCUUCCCAGGGUUAGUCGGAUCCUAAGGUGAGGGUGAAAGCCGUAACCGAUGGAAAACAGGUUAAUAUUCCUGUACUUGUUGUGUAGCGCGAUGGAGGGACGCAGGAAGAUAGGCGGGCCGGGUGUUGGAUAUCCCGGUGCAAGCGUGUAGGAAUAUCCGGUAGGCAAAUCCGCCGGACGAAUCUGAGACGCGAGUCCGUGGGCGCAAGCCCUGAAGCCGUUGAGUCUAUGCUGCCUAGAAAAGCUCCUAAGUUUAUCCACAGCAAUCCGUACCGCAAACCAACUCAGGUGGGUGGGAUGAACAAUCCAAGGCGCUCGAGAGAACUCUGGCCAAGGAACUCGGCAAAAUAACCCCGUAACUUCGGAAGAAGGGGUGCUCUCUAGGGUGACAUGUUUAACAUAUGAAGCCCCGGGGAGCCGCAGUGAAUUGGUGGUGGCGACUGUUUACUAAAAACAUAGGUCUGUGCGAAGUCCUAAAGACGACGUAUACGGACUGACGCCUGCCCGGUGCUGGAAGGUUAAAAGGAGGGGUCAGCGCAAGCAAAGCUCCGAAUUGAAGCCCCAGUAAACGGCGGCCGUAACUAUAACGGUCCUAAGGGAGCGAAAUUCCUUGUCGGGUAAGUUCCGACCUGCACGAAUGGCGUAACGAUCUCCACACUGUCUCGGCCAGAGACUCGGUGAAAUUGCAGUCGCGGUGAAAAUUCCGUGUACCCGCAGAAAGACGGAAAGACCCUGUGCACCUUUACUAUAGCUUGACAUUGGAUUUUGGGCCUGCAUGUGUAGGAUAGGUGGGAGGCUGUGAACCCUGUACGCCAGUAUGGGGGGAGCCAUCCUUGAAAUACCACCCUUGCAUGUUUAAGAUCCUAACUUCUUCCGGUUAUCCCGGAGAAAGACAGUGUCUGGCGGGUAGUUUGACUGGGGCGGUCGCCUCCUAAAGUGUAACGGAG
rnacentral:rRNA from 1 species